GCUCAACCGAGGAAGUGCUUCGAAAACUGGUAAACUUGAGUGCAGAAGAGGAAAGUGGAACUCCAUGUGUAGCGGUGGAAUGCGUAGAUAUAUGGAAGAACACCAGUGGCGAAGGCGGCUUUCUGGUCUGUAACUGACGCUGAGAUUCGAAAGCAUGGGUAGCAAACAGGAUUAGAUACCCUGGUAGUCCAUGCCGUAAACGAUGAGUGCUAAGUGUUGGAGGGUUUCCGCCCUUCAGUGCUGCAGCUAACGCAUUAAGCACUCCGCCUGGGGAGUACGACCGCAAGGUUGAAACUCAAAGGAAUUGACGGGGGCCCGCACAAGCGGUGGAGCAUGUGGUUUAAUUCGAAGCAACGCGAAGAACCUUACCAGGUCUUGACAUACCAUGAAAAGCUUAGAGAUAAGUCUUUCCCUUCGGGGACAUGGAUACAGGUGGUGCAUGGUUGUCGUCAGCUCGUGUCGUGAGAUGUUGGGUUAAGUCCCGCAACGAGCGCAACCCUUAUUAUCAGUUGCCAGCAUUCAGUUGGGCACUCUGGAGAGACUGCCGGUGACAAACCGGAGGAAGGUGGGGACGACGUCAAAUCAUCAUGCCCCUUAUGACCUGGGCUACACACGUGCUACAAUGGUCGGUACAACG
rnacentral:rRNA from 1 species